UCCUUGAAAUUUAAAGAAUUUGGCGGUGUUUUAGUCUAGUUAGAGGAACCUGUUUUAUAAACGAUAUAACACGCAUUAUUUUACUUAUUUUAGUAUUACAGCUUGUAUACCGUCAUUAUAAGAUAAUUUAAGAGAGAAUAUUAUUGGAAUCAUAUUAUUGAGUAUAUUAGAUCAAGGUGCAGCUUAUAGAUAAGUAAAUAUGGGUUACAAUAAAAGUUAUUUAAUAUGAAUUAAGUAUUUAAAUAUAUUUAUGAAGGAGGAUUUAAUUGUAAGGAAAGGAGUAGUGAGAUUUUCUGAUAAAAGCUCUAAAUUAUGUACAUAUCGCCCGUCGCUCGCGGGAAAAA
rnacentral:rRNA from 1 species